GCUACGGGCGGCAGCAGUAAGGGAUAUUGGUCAAUGGGGGAAACCCUGAACCAGCAACGCCGCGUGAGGGAAGACGGUUUUCGGAUUGUAAACCUCUGUCCGCGGGGAAGAGGAUGACGGUAGCAGAGGAGGAAGCUCCGGCUAACUACGUGCCAGCAGCCGCGGUAAUACGUAGGGCGCGAGCGUUGGCCGGAUUUACUGGGUGUAAAGGGUGCGUAGGCGGCUGGGCAAGUCAGUAGUGAAAUCCGUGGGCUUAACCCCUGAACUGCUAUUGAAACUGUCGAGCUUGAGUGAAGUAGAGGUAGGCGGAAUUCCCGGUGUAGCGGUGAAAUGCGUAGAGAUCGGGAGGAACACCAGUGGCGAAGGCGGCCUACUGGGCUUUACCUGCCGCUGAGGCACGACAGCGUGGGUAGCAAACAGGAUUAGAUACCCUGGUAGUC
rnacentral:rRNA from 1 species